UACAGAGGUCUCAAGCGUUGUUCGGAUUCAUUGGGCGUAAAGGGUGCGUAGGCGGCGCGGUAAGUCGGGUGUGAAAUCUCGGAGCUUAACUCCGAAACCUGCAUUCGAUACUGCCGUGCUUGAGGACUGGAGAGGAGACUGGAAUUUACGGUGUAGCGGUGAAAUGCGUAGAUAUCGUAAGGAAGACCAGUGGCGAAGGCGGGUCUCUGGACAGUUCCUGACGCUGAGGCACGAAGGCCAGGGGAGCAAACGGG
rnacentral:rRNA from 1 species